rnacentral:rRNA from 1 species
AUUGAACGCUGGCGGCAGGCCUAACACAUGCAAGUCGAACGAGUGGCGGACGGGUGAGUAAUGUAUGGGAAACUGCCUGAUGGAGGGGGAUAACUACUGGAAACGGUAGCUACUACCGCAUACCAUCAGAUGUGCCCAGAUGGGAUUAGCUAGUUGGUGGGGUAACGGCUCACCAAGGCGACGAUCCCUAGCUGGUCUGAGAGGCUGACCAGCCACACUGGAACUGAGACACGGUCCAGACUCCUACGGGAGGCAGCAGUGGGGAAUAUUGCACAAUGGGCGAAAGCCUGACGGAGCAAUGCCGCGUGUAUGAAGAAGGCUUUCGGGUUGUAAAGUACUUUCGGCGGGGAGGCGGUACCCGCAGAAGAAGCACCGGCUAACUCCGUGCCAGCAGCCGCGGUAAUAC